rnacentral:lncRNA from 1 species
GUGUGUCCCUAUAGGGCUCUGUGUGUCUCUAUGGUGCUCUGCAGGUCCUUAUAGGGUUCUGUGUGUCCCUAUGGGUCCUUAUGGGGCUCUAUGGGUCCCUAUAGGGUUCUGUGUGUCCCUAUGGGGCUCUGAGUGUCCCUAUAGGGUUCUGUGGGUCCCUAUGGGGUUCUGUGUGUCCCUAUAGGGUUCUAUGGGUCCCUAUAGGGUUCUGUGUGGCUCUGUGUGUCUCUACGGUGCUCUGCGGGUCCUUAUAGGGUUCUGUGUGUCCCUAUGGGUCCUUAUGGGGCUCUUUGGGUCCCUAUAGGGUUCUGUGUGUCCCUAUAGGGUUCUGUGUGUCCCUAUGGGGUUCUGUGUGUCCCUAUAGGGUUCUAUGGGUCCCUAUAGGGUUCUGUGUGUCCCUAUGGGUCCCUAUGGGGCUUUGAGUGUCCCUAUAGGGUUCUAUGGGGUUCUGUGUGUUCAUAUGGGGCUGUGUGUGUCCCUAUGGGUCCCUAUGGGGCUCUGAGUGUCCCUAUAGGGUUUUAUGGGUCCCUAUGAGGUUCUAUGGGUCCCUAUGGGGCUCUGUGGGUCCCUAUAGGGUUCUAUGGGUCCCUAUAGGGUUCUGUGCGUCCCUAUGGGGCUCCAUGCACCCCUAUGGGGUUCUGUGCGUCCCUAUGGGGCUCCAUGCACCCCUAUGGGGUUUCCGCGUGUCCCUAAGGGUGUCUGUGUGGGGCAGGGCAGGAGGCAGCCCCGCAGUGGGGCGUCGAGGAGGCGGCUGUGGGGCAGUGCCCCAUAACCCCCUUCAACCUGGAGGAGGAGAUGGAGAGCGGCAGCUUCGACCGCGCUGGGAAUUACAGACCUCGCGGGCCCCCCCUGCGCCCCGACCCGUGGCUGGAUGCGCUGCCCUGGGUAUGGGGGCUGUGGGGUGGCUCUGGGGUGAUGUGGGGUGGCUGUGGGGUGAUACGGGGUGGCUAUGGGGUGAUGUGGGGUGGCUAUGGGGUGAAACAGGGUGAUGUGGGGUGGCUAUGGGGUGAUGUGGGGUGGCUAUGGGGUGAAACAGGGUGAUGUGGGGUGAUAUGGGGUGGCUAUGGGAUGAUAUGGGGUGAUGUGGGGU